GGUCAAGCGAACAAGUGCAUGUGGUGGAUGCCUUGGCGAUCACAGGCGAUGAAGGACGCGGUAGCCUGCGAAAAGCCCCGGGGAGCUGGCAAACAAGCUUUGAUCCGGGGAUGUCCGAAUGGGGAAACCCACUCCGUAUGGAGUAUCCAUAGCUGAAUACAUAGGCUAUGUGAAGCGAACGCGGUGAACUGAAACAUCUAAGUAACCGCAGGAAAAGAAAUCAACCGAGAUUCCCAAAGUAGUGGCGAGCGAAAUGGGAUGAGCCUUGUACUCUUUAUUUGUAUUGUUAGCCGAACGCUCUGGAAAGUGCGGCCAUAGCAGGUGAUAGCCCUGUAGGCGAAAACAGUAUGAAAGAACUAGGUGUACGACAAGUAGGGCGGGACACGUGAAAUCCUGUCUGAAGAUGGGGGGACCAUCCUCCAAGGCUAAAUACUCGUGAUCGACCGAUAGUGAACCAGUACCGUGAGGGAAAGGCGAAAAGAACCCCGGGAGGGGAGUGAAAUAGAUCCUGAAACCGCAUGCAUACAAACAGUCGGAGCCUCGUAAGGGGUGACGGCGUACCUUUUGUAUAAUGGGUCAGCGACUUACGUUCAGUAGCAAGCUUAACCGUAUAGGGCAGGCGUAGCGAAAGCGAGUCCGAAUAGGGCGUUCAGUUGCUGGGCGUAGACCCGAAACCAGGUGAUCUAUCCAUGGCCAGGAUGAAGGUGCGGUAACACGUACUGGAGGUCCGAACCCACUAACGUUGAAAAGUUAGGGGAUGAGCUGUGGAUAGGGGUGAAAGGCUAAACAAACCUGGAAAUAGCUGGUUCUCUCCGAAAACUAUUUAGGUAGUGCCUCGUGUCUCACCUUCGGGGGUAGAGCACUGUCAUGGUUGGGGGGUCUAUUGCAGAUUACCCCGCCAUAGCAAACUCCGAAUACCGAAGAGUGCAAUCACGGGAGACAGACAUCGGGUGCUAACGUCCGGUGUCAAGAGGGAAACAACCCAGACCGCCAGCUAAGGUCCCCAAAUAUGGCUAAGUGGGAAACGAAGUGGGAAGGCUAAAACAGUCAGGAGGUUGGCUUAGAAGCAGCCACCCUUUAAAGAAAGCGUAAUAGCUCACUGAUCGAGUCGUCCUGCGCGGAAGAUGUAACGGGGCUAAGCCAUAUACCGAAGCUGCGGAUGCGUGCUUGCACGCAUGGUAGGAGAGCGUUCCGUAAGCCUGCGAAGGUGCCUUGUAAAGGGUGCUGGAGGUAUCGGAAGUGCGAAUGCUGACAUGAGUAGCGAUAAAGGGGGUGAAAGGCCCCCUCGCCGUAAGCCCAAGGUUUCCUACGCAACGUUCAUCGGCGUAGGGUGAGUCGGCCCCUAAGGCGAGGCAGAAAUGCGUAGCUGAUGGGAAGCAGGUCAAUAUUCCUGCACCAUUGUUAGAUGCGAUGGGGGGACGGAUCGCGGAAGGUUGUCCGGGUGUUGGACGUCCCGGUCGCUGCAUUGGAGAAGGCGCUUAGGCAAAUCCGGGCGCAGGAUUCAAGGGUGUGGCGCGAGCGACUUCGGUCGCGAAGCAAUUGGAAGUGGUUCCAAGAAAAGCCUCUAAGCUUCAGUCUAACGAUGACCGUACCGCAAACCGACACAGGUGGGCGAGAUGAGUAUUCUAAGGCGCUUGAGAGAACUCGGGAGAAGGAACUCGGCAAAUUGGUACCGUAACUUCGGGAUAAGGUACGCCCUUGUAGCUUGACUGGCCUGCGCCAGGAGGGUGAAGGGGUUGCAAUAAACUGGUGGCUGCGACUGUUUAAUAAAAACACAGCACUCUGCAAACACGAAAGUGGACGUAUAGGGUGUGACGCCUGCCCGGUGCCGGAAGAUUAAAUGAUGGGGUGCAAGCUCUUGAUUGAAGUCCCGGUAAACGGCGGCCGUAACUAUAACGGUCCUAAGGUAGCGAAAUUCCUUGUCGGGUAAGUUCCGACCUGCACGAAUGGCGUAACGAUGGCCACACUGUCUCCUCCCGAGACUCAGCGAAGUUGAAGUGUUUGUGAUGAUGCAAUCUACCCGCGGCUAGACGGAAAGACCCCAUGAACCUUUACUGUAGCUUUGCAUUGGACUUUGAACCGAUCUGUGUAGGAUAGGUGGGAGGCUAUGAAACCGGAACGCUAGUUUCGGUGGAGCCGUCCUUGAAAUACCACCCUGGUUUGUUUGAGGUUCUAACCUUGGUCCGUGAUCCGGAUCGGGGACAGUGCAUGGUAGGCAGUUUGACUGGGGCGGUCUCCUCCCAAAGGGUAACGGAGGAGUACGAAGGUACGCUAGGUACGGUCGGAAAUCGUGCUGAUAGUGCAAUGGCAUAAGCGUGCUUAACUGCGAGACCGACAAGUCGAGCAGGUGCGAAAGCAGGUCAUAGUGAUCCGGUGGUUCUGUAUGGAAGGGCCAUCGCUCAACGGAUAAAAGGUACUCUGGGGAUAACAGGCUGAUACCGCCCAAGAGUUCAUAUCGACGGCGGUGUUUGGCACCUCGAUGUCGGCUCAUCUCAUCCUGGGGCUGUAGCCGGUCCCAAGGGUAUGGCUGUUCGCCAUUUAAAGAGGUACGUGAGCUGGGUUUAAAACGUCGUGAGACAGUUUGGUCCCUAUCUGCCGUGGGCGUUGGAUAUUUGAAGGGGGCUGCUCCUAGUACGAGAGGACCGGAGUGGACGAACCUCUGGUGUACCGGUUGUGACGCCAGUCGCAUCGCCGGGUAGCUAUGUUCGGAAGAGAUAACCGCUGAAAGCAUCUAAGCGGGAAACUCGCCUUAAGAUGAGAUAUCCCUGGAGGCUUGACCUCCUUGAAGGGUCGUUCGAGACCAGGACGUUGAUAGGUCGGGUGUGUAAGCGCAGUAAUGCGUUCAGCUAACCGAUACUAAUUGCCCGUAAGGCUUGAUCCU
rnacentral:rRNA from 1 species